AAUCUUGCGCAAUGGGCGAAGGCCUGACGCAGCCAUGCCGCGUGAAUGAUGUAGGUCUUAGGAUUGUAAAAUUCUUUCAUCGGGACCGAUAAUGACGGUACCCGGAGAAGAAGCCCCGGCUAACUUCGUGCCAGCAGCCGCGGUAAUACGAAGGUGGCUAGCGUUGCUCGGAAUUACUGGGCGUAAAGGGCGCGUAGGCGGAUCGUUAAGUUAGAGGUGAAAUCCCAGGGCUCAACCCUGGAACUGCCGUUGAUAAUGGCGAUCUUGAGUAUGAGAGAGGUAUGAGGAACUCCGAGUGUAGAGGUGAAAUUAGUAGAUAUUCGGAAGAACACCAGUGGCGAAGGCGACAUACUGGCUCAUUACUGACGCUGAGGCGCGAAAGCGUGGGGAGCAAACA
rnacentral:rRNA from 1 species